rnacentral:tmRNA from 1 species
UAUCUAGCAAAAUAUAAACAAAAAACUAUAAUGUUUAGUGUUGGUUUUCCAACUACGACGAUAAACGAAUUUCGUAAUAACCAUUGCGGACGUGGGGGCAGUACCCACCACCUCCACCAUUACAGCUUAUGGGGGUGAACUAGAUUCGACGGGUGACUAAAGGCUAUUCUUUCGUUCGGGAUUGUUCCACCGUGACGGGCAAAUUUAUAAUUGCUAACGAAAGUUACGCACUUGCUGCCUAAUUAACUUUGUUAAUUAAGUAGACGGGGUCCGGGGCACCUGGCAACAGAACGCCCCUACA